UGAGGGAAUAUUAAUAUCUUUGUUUUGUUGUUUUACUUAAAAUAUCUGAAAACAAGUUGCAAUAUCUUCAUGUGUUUGUUUUUCCUGGCAGAGAACUCCCUUUGCAAUACUCUGGCACCCAGCCUGUUUGUUAUGCCCACAGCAGACUAUGGAACUUCAGAAUGGUGGUGUUCUUGGUUCAGAUACAAAUGAAGAAGCCAAUUCAUCCAGAUAUGAAAAACAAAAAGAGCCAAACUAUGUUUCUCAAUGUGCGGGUGUUUUGCGUUGUCGGGUGAUGCCUCCCCCAUGUGUGAAAGCCCUAUAUCUGAAAGUUAAUUUAGCAAAUGACCUUGAUCUUUUUCGGGACAGCAGAUCAAAAUUGGCAGAGCUAAAGCACUACAAUUUAUUCAUGAACAUGGCUUAGCUCACAUGGAUGUAAAGCUGGAGAACAUUUAUAUAAAGAAUGGUGUCUAUAAACUCGGUGAUUUUGGCUGUGCAACUCUUGCGUAUUGAAGAUGGUGAUUCAAGGUACACCUGCCGGAGUGCCCUUCACUCUCACUCUCAGUCCAACUAUUUUCCUCUACCCUUCGCCAUUGGCCCAGCUGGCGUCCCCUUCUUCAUUGGCCCAGUUGGUGGCCAGUGCAUUAGGGAUUUCAUCUCUCUCACUCAAGGUACGAAAGGGAGGAGAAUAGAAAGAAAGGGGAUAGAGUUCUUGGAGUAGCUAGGGCCUGGCUAAAGUUGGGAGACAAGAGGAGAGAGUGCAGCUCUGUCUCUCUUGAGUUUGGAGUGUGCCUGAUCUGGUUAAAGCAAGUGAGAAGGUGGACAGGUAUCAGAGGGGAAACUCUGAAGUUCACAAAAACUGAGAAGAAGGUAGCUUUGUCAAUUGUGAAUAUGAUGAACAGCGACCGGGACUGGUCCUCCCUUGGGGACCUGGCCAUCCAUGGCAUCAGCAACCUCCAAAACUGCAUUGACCAUGUCCGCUUCCGCAGUGUCUGUUCUAAUUGGCGGUCACUCACAAAUCCGCGCCAAAAAACCCCCUCUUGAUCCUCAUCAACCUUGAUAAUAAAAAACAUAUAAAAGCUCUUUCCUUCUUCGACGUUAGCCGCAAAGACAUAAUUCCGCUAGGUGAUUUUGUUAAUCUUCAUCAAUCUUUUUACUGCGGUUCUGCUUUUGGAUGGGUAUUUGUAUCAAGAAUUACCAACUAUCGUGUGACCGGAGGUAGAGGUAAUUGGCAAAGGCUAAAGAUAACUCUCAUAAACCCAUUCACUGGUCGUGUUGUCAGACUUCCUCUACUGGACAGGGCACCAGGAGGUCAGGUUCUUCUCCUGGAAUCAGCCCCGCAUGUUAAUGCUAUCCCCAGUGUGGUGCUGUAUUACAUGGUCGAAAAUGGCCGGGUGUCUAAUGAGGUAAACUGCCUAAAGAUAGCGGACAAAACAUGGACGACAUUUGACUUCUCGCAUUCUGAGCGACAGUUCCGUUUUGGCCCAAAAGAUCGGGGCUUCUAUUCUAUUGAGCAGCGCCCUUCUGACCUAAUAGUAUUUGAUGGAAAUUUCUAUGCUAUUGAGCAGGACGGUGUGAUUUCUCAGUUUCAUCCAUUCGAUACAUAUCAUCGCCAUCCUUGUUAUUCGUUUGAUGUUAUGACACGGAAUUUGCAGUCAACAAUUCCGAAAGAGCCUUUAUAUUGUCUGCGCAUCACAUACACCACACACAUACUGUGUUUUUGAAGUGUAUGUGAUGUGUGAUCAUAUCAUGCAGGAAUCCUAUGAUUACAGGAUGUUCUUGAGGAUCGCGCCUGAUUUGAUGGUAGAGCGGAUCCAGGGUGAUGUGGCGGCAGAGGUUGAAAAUGUUAAUCCAACAGGGCUUUUUGAAAGCCUACAGUUGUUUUGGAAUAACCCUCGUCAACCAUGGAAAGCAGCUGGUUGGAUUACUCCAGAUAUGAGAGAUUAUGAAGGCGAGGACCUGUCGACAAUUUGGAAGAGAUUGUUUAGAGAGUACUUCGAGAGAAUGCUAGCUAGAAGGCAUCGUUUAGCGCGGGAUCCAAGUGGCAAGACAAGGCUGGAUCACAUCUUCGAUGCAUAGUCCCCAGUUUGUAGAGAAAUGCCUGAAGACUUGAUUUUUUUUUCACAUUGCCCUCAGUUUGUUUAGGUUUCUUGUGCACACUGUUUGGUUUUUUUUUCCCCUUUUUAUUUGGCAAAAACUUCUGUGUUCAAUUUGAUGAGAUCUUUAGAACUAAAACCCUUUUUGUUUGUUUGGAUAAAUACUUAUUUUUGAUAAGCACAGAAUGAUGGCUACUAGGUUUUGUUGAUCAGAAAUACAGAAAAGAACAUGGGUUUAUGGAAGGAUAUCCAGAGGAGGAUAGUUUGCUCCAGGGAUCUUUAGUUGGGAAAUAUAGUUGUCCUAGUUUGAGGGAGAUGAAGGAAAUCUCAAAGGUGAUGGAUACUUCAU